rnacentral:rRNA from 1 species
ACGAACGCUGGCGGCAUGCCUAACACAUGCAAGUCGAACGAGAAAGUUCCUUCGGGAGCGAUUAAAGUGGCGCACGGGUGAGUAACGCGUAGACAAUCUGCCCUUCAGUCUGGGACAACUUUUCGAAAGGAGAGCUAAUACCGGAUAACAAUGCAUUACAUAAGUAGCGUAUUUGAAAGCUUUAUGUGCUGAAGGAGGGGUCUGCGUCCCAUUAGCUAGUUGGUAAGGUAAAGGCUUACCAAGGCAACGAUGGGUAGCGGGUUUGAGAGGACGAUCCGCCACACUGGAACUGAGACACGGUCCAGACUCCUACGGGAGGCAGCAGUGGGGAAUAUUGCACAAUGGAGGAAACUCUGAUGCAGCAAUGUCGCGUGAGUGAAGAAGGCCCUUGGGUCGUAAAGCUCUUUUAUGGGGGAAGAUGAUGACGGUACCCCAAGAAUAAGCACCGGCUAACUACGUGCCAGCAGCCGCGGUAAUACGUAGGGUGCGAGCGUUGUUCGGAAUUACUGGGCGUAAAGGGCGCGCAGGCGGAAUAGCAAGUCGGAGGUGAAAGCCCGGGGCUCAACCCCGGAGGGUCUUUCGAAACUGCUAAUCUAGAGAGGGUCAGGGGCCAGCAGAAUUCUUGGUGUAGAGGUGAAAUUCGUAGAUAUCAAGAGGAAUACCGGUGGCGAAAGCGGCUGGCUGGGGCCACUCUGACGCUGAGGCGCGAAAGCGUGGGGAGCAAACAGGAUUAGAUACCCUGGUAGUCCACGCCGUAAACGAUGAGCACUGGAUGUCCGGAGGGUUCGACCCUUCUGGGUAUCUCAGCUAACGCAUUAAGUGCUCCGCCUGGGGAGUACGGUCGCAAGACUAAAACUCAAAGGAAUUGACGGGGGCCCGCACAAGCGGUGGAACAUGUGGUUUAAUUCGAAGCAACGCGAAGAACCUUACCUAGCUUUGACAUGUCAGUGAAAAUUCGGUGAAAGCCGAACCCUCCAAGAGCUUGCUCGAGGACACUGUCACAGGUGGUGCAUGGCCGUCGUCAGCUCGUGUCGUGAGAUGUUGGGUUAAGUCCCGCAACGAGCGCAACCCCUAUCGAUAUUUGCCAUCAGGUUAAGCUGGGCACUUUAGGGGGACUGCCGGUGACAAGCCGGAGGAAGGUGGGGAUGACGUCAAGUCCUCAUGGCCUUUAUGACCAGGGCUACACACGUGUUACAAUGGGAGAUACAGAGGGAAGCUAAACCGCGAGGUCAUGCCAAUCCCAGAAAAUCUUUCUCAGUUCGGAUCGCAGUCUGCAACUCGACUGCGUGAAGCUGGAAUCGCUAGUAAUCGCGGAUCAGCACGCCGCGGUGAAUACGUUCCCGGGCCUUGUACACACCGCCC